rnacentral:rRNA from 1 species
UGGAUAGUAUUAUUUAUGAAAUUUAACGGAUUUGGCGGCAAGAUAGCCACUUAGAGGAACCUGCCCUGUAAACGAUGAGCCACGAUUAACCUUACUUUUAUUAGAAUUCAGUUUGUAUACCGCUGUUGUCAGUUAGUUUCUUUAGAAAACUUUCGUACAUGAAAAAUUCAAGGACUUCAAGUAAAGGUGCAGCUUAUGUAAAAGAUAGAGGUGGGUUACAAUUAAAAGAAUAAUAUGGAUAAAGUAAAGAAAAAACUUUUGAAGGUGGAUUUAAUAGUAAAGUUUAAUAAGACUUGAUUAGAGCUCUAUCUUGUGUACACACCGCCCGUCGCUCGCGGGA